GUUCCGUAGGUGAACCUGCGGAAGGAUCAUUAUUGUAUAACCGAGGUGCGUGGGCUGUCGCUGACCCGAAAGGUCGUGCACGCCCGAGUGCCCUCACACGCAUCCAUCUCACCCCUAUGUGCACCACCGCGUGGGUCCCCCUUUGGCUUGUUCGGAGGGGGGCUUACGUUUUCACACAAACUUUGUAUGCAGUGUAGAAUGUAUUUUUUGUUUUUGCGAUCACGCAAUCAAUACAACUUUCAACAACGGAUCUCUUGGCUCUC
rnacentral:misc_RNA from 1 species